UACGGAGGGGGCUAGCGUUGUUCGGAAUUACUGGGCGUAAAGCGCACGUAGGCGGAUCAGUCAGUCAGGGGUGAAAUCCCGGGGCUCAACCCCGGAACUGCCUUUGAUACUGCUGGUCUGGAGGUCGAGAGAGGCGAGUGGAAUUCCGAGUGUAGAGGUGAAAUUCGUAGAUAUUCGGAGGAACACCAGUGGCGAAGGCGGCUCGCUGGCUCGAUACUGACGCUGAGGUGCGAAAGCGUGGGGAGCAAACAGG
rnacentral:rRNA from 2 species